rnacentral:rRNA from 1 species
UACGGGGGGGGCAAGCGUUGUUCGGAAUUACUGGGCGUAAAGGGCUCGUAGGCGGCCAACUAAGUCAGACGUGAAAUCCCUCGGCUUAACCGGGGAACUGCGUCUGAUACUGGAUGGCUAGAGGUUGGGAGAGGGAUGCGGAAUUCCAGGUGUAGCGGUGAAAUGCGUAGAUAUCUGGAGGAACACCGGUGGCGAAGGCGGCUUUCUGGACGACAACUGACGCUGAGACGCGAAAGCGUGGGGAGCAAACAGG